GUGAGGAAUAUUGCACAAUGGGCGAAAGCCUGAUGCAGCAACGCCGCGUGGAGGAUGAAGGCCUUCGGGUCGUAAACUCCUUUUCUGGGGGACGAGAAAGGACGGUACCCCAGGAAUAAGUCUCGGCUAACUACGUGCCAGCAGCCGCGGUAAUACGUAGGAGGCGAACGUUAUCCGGAAUUACUGGGCGUAAAGCGCACGCAGGCGGCUUCGUAAGUCCGACGUGAAAGCUCCCGGCUUAACUGGGAGAGGCCGUUGGAUACUGCGAAGCUCGAGGUUAGGAGAGGAAAGUGGAAUUCCCGGUGUAGUGGUGGAAUGCGUAGAUAUCGGGAGGAACCCCAGUGGCGAAAGCGACUUUCUAGCCUACACCUGACGCUGAGGUGCGAAAGCGUGGGGAGCGAACAGGAUUAGAUACCCCAGUAGUCC
rnacentral:rRNA from 1 species